GUGGAUUGAAGCUGGACCGAGACUACAAUGCAGCUGGACCGUGUGGAACCUGGGUAGCAGCUGGAUGCUAUUUAAUUGUUUCAGCCCAAAACCGUGUUGCUGCAGCUGCUGGAACGUGAUAUGCUUGGCUGGGCCAAGCUGCUGCUGUUGCCAAGUCUGGACCGUGGAGAUGCUGGUGCAAGUCUGGACCGUGGAGAUGCUGGUGCAAGUCUGGACCGUGAAGAUGCUGGUGCAAGUCUAGACCGUGACAGCUUGCUGCACCUCCUCUCGAAUCUGGACAUCAUUUAAUGUGGGCCGCUGUACGUGGUCCUGCUGGGAACGUUGCUCCAAAGCCGGUGCUGCAGUGUGCAUGGAGGAAGAGUUGAUGCUGGGCCGGCCCUUGUGUCAGGCUGGGACGCUGCUGCAGAAGCUGGGCCGAGAGUGGUGCUGCUGCAACCAUGGAGAUGCUGGACGUGUUUCAGCUGUUUGAAGUCNGUGAGAGCUGGACCAUGGUGUGCUGCUACACGUGAACAUGAGGAGCUGCUGCUUGCUUACUGGGCCGUGGACGUUUGGGGUGCAGCUGGUUACGUUGACGAAGGCUGGAACGUGGCAGUUGCACCUCCUUUCUCCAAGCAGCUGGAUGUGUCUCCUUGGGCUAUGGUAUAUUUCAAGCUAGGGAGUUGCUGGAUUUUUUUCUUUUUGAAGCCUGGACCACCUUCAAAGCUGCAGCGUUUUUCAUUUGAUUUUGAUGGACCAGCAAAGCCUUUUUGAAGUUGCUGGAGAUGCAAGCCCUUUGCUGAAUGUAGCGCCAUUUUUAAUGGGNCGUAAACUUGUUUUCUUUGUUUCUUUUUUUCUUUUUUUUUUAACUCAAAUAAAUUCUCAUAUAACCUUAAAAUGUCCCAAAUAAUAUUUCCAAAAUUUUCCCUGAAAAUAAUAAUGCAAAUAAUUAGAUCAGAAAAUUCAAAUUAAUUAAAAUUAGAAUUUCCGGUCAAAUUAAGCACAAUUAACA
rnacentral:lncRNA from 1 species